rnacentral:rRNA from 1 species
GACGAACCGAGCGAACGUUGUUCGGAAUAACUGGGCCUAAAGGGCGCGUAGGCGGGCCGCCAAGUUCGAGGUGAAAUCCUCCGGCUCAACCGGAGAACUGCCUCGAAUACUGGAGGCCUCGAGGCGGGUAGGGGCACGCGGAACUGUGGGUGGAGCGGUGAAAUGCGUUGAUAUCCACAGGAACUCCGGUGGCGAAGGCGGCGUGCUGGACCCGAUCUGACGCUGAGGCGCGAAAGCCAGGGGAGCAAACGGG